AAUGCUGUGCACACGGGGAGGAAUGGGACAAGGGGGUGUGAAAAACAUGAUAUAAUUUUUUUCUGCUGAUUCUUGUAUCAUUUUGAAAACGAUUAAAAAGUGCUCAUAAAUAACUUGUUUUGAUGUAUAAAAGUCAAAAUUUUUGUUGUCUAUUAUAAAUGAAUAUGAUCUCACGCAUCUAGGGAGAAUCAAACUUUCAAUUUCAAAGAUAAGCGUAACAAAUCUAUUUAAUUCAACUAAAAAAUUAAAUAUUAGAGUU
rnacentral:lncRNA from 1 species